GAUGAACGCUAGCUACAGGCUUAACACAUGCAAGUCGAGGGGCAGCAUGAAAGGAACUUCGGUUCUUUUUGAUGGCGACCGGCGCACGGGUGCGUAACGCGUAUCGAACCUGCCUCAUACUCGGGGAUAGCCUUGCGAAAGUAAGAUUAAUACCCGAUGGCAUAAUGAUUCCGCAUGGUUUCAUUAUUAAAGGAUUCCGGUAAAGGAUGGGGAUGCGUUCCAUUAGGUUGUUGGUGAGGUAACGGCUCACCAAGCCUUCGAUGGAUAGGGGUUCUGAGAGGAAGGUCCCCCACAUUGGAACUGAGACACGGUCCAA
rnacentral:rRNA from 1 species